rnacentral:lncRNA from 1 species
AGAAACCAGUCUCCGAGGCUUGGCAAAGCAGUUCUCCUUGGCAGUGCUUGGGUGUCGGGACUCCGAGGUUCCGGCCUGACCGCUCCACGGGGUCGACAGGAACGUCUCCAGAUGCCAGGAGUCGCAAAGAGCCGACCACGACGAUGAGACCACGGGCGGAGUCCAGGGGAAGCAGCAAGGCAUCCCAGCCUCAGGCCUGCCCGGACGGUGUUCGGGUGAGUCUCCCCAAAAGUCGUGCCCCCGGGAUCUCAAGGACAGGUCGGCUUGCGUGCCCCUGGGCUGCUCUCUCACCCGAGGGUCGUUCUCAUCCAGAGCAGAACCCCGCAGCCUCAGGUGUUGCCUGGGGGUGUGUGUUUCUGUGCCACUGCUGUAUGACUCUGUGUGUGUGUGUGUGUGUGUGUGUCUCCCAUUCUCUCUUCUGUCUCUGUCUCUCACUCUCUGUGUGUUUCUUUCCCUCUCUCUGUCCAUUUGUGUGUGUGUGCCCGUGUGCGAGUGUGUCUUUGGACGAAUGUGCCCUGUGCG